rnacentral:lncRNA from 1 species
AGCUUGGCCGACGCCUGGCCGCCGCCGCGCGCGUGGCCGCCCUUGGGCUUCUCCGGGGGCGGCGGCGGCAGCUUGUCGGGGAUCCAGAACGCGGCGAUCGUCGAGUAGCCCGUGCCCGUGCCGUGCGAUAUCCGCUCCCAGCCCUCCUGUGACCGUUUGCAUACAUAUGUAUACUUAGAGGGCUUCCUAGAGGGAGAAAAUGGCACUAUCCUGUUACAGUCACAGGACAAACGCACAGCACUAUCACACUGUGCAUAUGAUGAUGACAUUGGCCAGUCUAAGACGAGACACCAGCUGGAAAAUUUGCCCUCCGGACAUUGCCGCAAGCUAGCUGAUUGCGACCCCGGCAUGCAUGGGUCUAGGGCCAAUGCAGCAGCAAAACAGAUUAAGAAGCGCAACUAACUCUAAAUAUGAUGCACCGUGUAGAAUGCCAUAAGGAAGGAAGCUGACACAACAGAUGCAUGUGUGUCACCAUCUUGGGAAACAGGUCAUCAGGUGAGAGGAAUUGGGGUGGGUGAAGAAAGAGAGGCAGGUAGGGAACGCGCACCAAGACUGGGUGCGCGCGCAUGCAUCCGGCCGGGCAGUCCGGCAGCGGAACAGCCGGCGGCUGCUUGAAGGG